AACGUAGGACGCAAGCGUUAUCCGGAGUUACUGGGCGUAAAGGGCAGGCAGGCGGGUCGAUAAGUCGGAUGUGAAAUCUCCCUGGCUUAACCGGGAGAGUGCAUUUGAGACUGUCAACCUGGAGGGCAGCAGAGGAGCGUGGAAUUCCGGGUGGAGUGGUGAAAUGCGUAGAGAUCCGGAGGAACACCAGAGGCGAAAGCGGCGCUCUGGGCUGCG
rnacentral:rRNA from 1 species